AACGGCGAUUACAUGUCGAAAGGAAUAGUCGUCGUCACUUCAAAGAUAUAGCUGUAUAUCCUUAUAUAGUCAAUAGAGCUCAGAGUAUCUGAGUUACGAAGGAGAUUUCAAUCACGAAGGGUCUCGUAACUCAGAUACUCUGAGCUCUAUUGACUAUAUAAGGAUAUACAGCUAUAUCUUUGAAGUGACGACGACUAUUCCUUUCGACAUGUAAUCGCCGUUUAAACCCAGCCAGGAAGAAGCAUUCCUUCAUCGCAGUCUCUCACUCUACACUUACUUCGCCUUCGUCCCAGGAUGAUAUCGGGAUAUAAUGAAUUAUGUACUACGUGGACGUCAGUUUGGACUGUUGGUAUAUAUAUAUUUUUAGAUUUUCCAAGGUAUGCAACUUUCCAAGUGUUAUAAGUGCUGCACAUGCUCAUAAUUAAAUUUAGAUAUAUGCAUACGAUUAUUGUGUAGUGAUUAAUUAGGCAUUUGGUAAUAUUUAAGGUAUUUUGGAAGUGGCUGAAUUACUGCGGCUCCCCCAAGCUUCACGAUGAUCAACUUUGUGUAUUAGCUGCCGCAUCAGCACCUGGAUGAUAGGACAGUUUUCAAUUACAAUAAAUUACUUAAUUU